AUUGAACGCUGGCGGCAUGCUUUACACAUGCAAGUCGAACGGUAACAGGCCUUCGGGUGCUGACGAGUGGCGAACGGGCGAGUAAUGCAUCGGAACGUACCCAGAGGUGGGGGAUAACGCAGCGAAAGCUGUGCUAAUACCGCAUGUGAUCUGAGGAUGAAAGCGGGGGACCGAGCAGCAAUGUUUGGCCUCGCGCCUUUGGAGCGGCCGAUGUCGGAUUAGCUAGUUGGUGGGGUAAAGGCCUACCAAGGCGACGAUCCGUAGCUGGUCUGAGAGGACGACCAGCCACACUGGGACUGAGACACGGCCCAGACUCCUACGGGAGGCAGCAGUGGGGAAUUUUGGACAAUGGGCGCAAGCCUGAUCCAGCAAUGCCGCGUGCGGGAAGAAGGCCUUCGGGUUGUAAACCGCUUUUGGCAGGAACGAAACGGUGUCCGCUAAUACCGGGCGCUAAUGACGGUACCUGCAGAAUAAGCACCGGCUAACUACGUG
rnacentral:rRNA from 1 species